UAUAUAUUAAAAAAACCCUAGUUUAUAAUCGAUUUUCCAGUCUCCCACCACCGUAGUCUUCCUUUUGCCGACACCAUCUCUAUCACUUCUUCACCCGUUGCUCAUGAAGUGUUCCUUGUUGAGAGAUUCUGAAGCUUCAGUUUCAGUUUUAUGUUAUGGAUCGAAGGUGACAGAACUCGUCGGGACAGAUAUAUAUAUGGUUAACGGAGGAUAUCAAGCUUCACCGGAUGGAGAGAUCGAACGUCGUACGCCGUCGCCUCACCACUUUGUCGAAAACCCUAAAUGUAGAUGGGUUUGGGUUGUAAUUUUAGUUGGACUUGUUAUAAAUUUUUUUUAGGUCUGUAAAUAAGUUUGAGCCCAUUAAUUUUUUUUUUUGGUCUUAUUCGGUUCGAAUUAACCGAAUUAGGAAACAAUCGGUUAAUUUCGGAAGAUAUAAUAAAUGCUAAAACCGAACCGAAUAAACCGAGUACCGAACGAACCGAACCGAAAGAUUAUUCGGUUCAAUUUGGCAGAAAUUUUAGAUAACCGAAAAAUCAAAAAACCGAAUAAACCGAACCGAAUAAACCGAUUGAA